rnacentral:lncRNA from 1 species
UUUACUUAAACACAAUUCAUAAGCUAUCUAACAGAUAACAUAUUAUGCAACUAUACUAUUACAAACUAGCCGCACAAUUUAUUACAAACUGAACUUGGCAUUAACCUUUUCCUGUAUCCGAACGCAUUCGCCUUAUCUGCAAUGUUUAUCAUGAUAUAGCAAGGGUGAGCAUGAAAAUUGCCCAGCAAGUUUAAAUACAACAAUAUAAAGAUAUAUCAUGAUUGAAGAAUAUGAAUAAUAAACUGGCUAUAAUUCAUCAAUAUAAUUGAUAAUUAGCACGAACAAACUUUUGACUGAACAAGUUUUAAACAUGAACAAACAUUUCUGGACAAACCGGUAAUGAAGGUGAUCAGCCUUUCAUACCUGACUUAUACAUGCAAGAUGUACAGAGNNN